CUCCUCAUUGGCUCGCGUCGCCUCCGGCUUCGGGGGUCCUGGAUUCGGAUGCCAAGAUGCGGGACUGAUUGGCUGGAACGUGGCAGAGACGGCUGAGGUCAUCCCCCCCAUCGCCCGGCGUCUCCGGGGCCGGGCUUCCAGAGUUAGCGUAGGAGCUUCCCCCACCCCUCCCGCGUAGCCCCCCUCUCUUGGCGCCCGGACCCACUCUGGAACCCCAGAACUGUCUUUAUGUACAGACAUCAUAAAAAAAAUGCACAUACACUGGAGAUUUUCCAAGGAACAGGAGCUGGAAA